rnacentral:rRNA from 1 species
ACUGUUAGACUUGNAAUUAUUAGGAAGUAACUAGAAUAUGUAGUGUAGCGGUGAAAUGCUUAGAGAUUACAUGGAAUACCAAUUGCGAAGGCAGGUUACUACUAAUUGAUUGACGCUGAUGGACGAAAGCGUGGGUAGCGAACAGGAUUAGAUACCCUGGUAGUCCCACGCCGUAAACGAUGGAUACUAGCUGUUGGAAGCAAUUUCAGUGGCUAAGCGAAAGUGAUAAGUAUCCCACCUGGGGAGUACGUUCGCAAGAAUGAAACUCAAAGGAAUUGACGGGGGCCCGCACAAGCGGUGGAGCAUGUGGUUUAAUUCGAUGAUACGCGAGGAACCUUACCAAGGCUUAAAUGUAGAUUGACCGGUUUGGAAACAGAUCUUUCGCAAGACAAUUUACAAGGUGCUGCAUGGUUGUCGUCAGCUCGUGCCGUGAGGUGUCAGGUUAAGUCCUAUAACGAGCGCAACCCCUGUUGUUAGUUGCCAGCGAGUCAAGUCGGGAACUCUAACAAGACUGCCAGUGCAAACUGUGAGGAAGGUGGGGAUGACGUCAAAUCAUCACGGCCCUUACGCCUUGGGCUACACACGUGCUACAAUGGCCGGUACAGAGAGCAGCCACUGGGCGACCAGGAGCGAAUCUAUAAAACCGGUCACAGUUCGGAUCGGAGUCUGCAACUCGACUCC